rnacentral:rRNA from 1 species
GAUGAACGCUAGCGGCAGGCUUAAUACAUGCAAGUCGUGGGGCAGCAGGACUGUAGCAAUACAGUUGCUGGCGACUGGCAAACGGGUGCGGAACACGUACGCAAUCUACCCAGAACUGGUGAAUAGCCCUCCGAAAGGAGGAUUAAUACACCGUAAUAUUAUAAAGUGGCAUCACUUAAUAAUUAAAGCUCCGGCGGUUUUGGAUGAGCGUGCGGCCCAUUAGGUAGUUGGUUGAGGUAAUGGCUCACCAAGCCUGCGAUGGGUAACUGGUGUGAGAGCACGACCAGUCACACGGGCACUGAGACACGGGCACGACUCCUACGGGAGGCAGCAGUAAGGAAUAUUGGUCAAUGGACGCAAGUCUGAACCAGCCAUGCCGCGCGGAGGAUGAAGGCCCUCUGGGUUGUAAACUUCUUUUAUGGGGGACGAAAUCACUUAUUCUUAAGUGUCUGACGGUACCCCAGGAAUAAGCACCGGCUAACUCCGUGCCAGCCGCCGCGGUAA